rnacentral:sRNA from 1 species
GCUGCAUGUGUUAACCACAACAGAUGGCCGUAGCCACCGGGCUUGUCCUUGGUGCAGUCAGCCUGGGGGCUGCGGGGGCUUGUGGAAGCAUGUGGGAAGACGGUCCCACUGGUCAGCAGAGCAGGGUCCUCACCGACCCACAGAGGAGCAUGUCACAGGACAGGCAGGCGUGUCAGGGAAGGCCAGGCUAGUGCCAGCCGAGGGCAUUUCCUCCCAGACUGCCCUUUUCCUCACACUCCCACCACACAGCCCUCAAAGCCUGUGUCCCUGUGGGCCCCUGGCCAAGGAGCAAGGGCUGCCCUGCCUGGGCCCCCCCGCCAGCCCGUUGGUCACCUCAUGCUGUGUGCCAGGCUCGGGGAGUGUGCCUGUGUGUGUGUCCAGGUGGCAUUUGGAUGAAGACACAGGUGUGUGGUGAGGCUGUGCGGGAGGACGGGCCUAUGCGUGCGGUGGGCAGGUGGUGUGAAGGCGGGCGGGCGUGUGGCAGCGCGCCGGCUGAGCCCCUCCACUUCCAGGUCAGCCAGAGCAGCCUCCCCAUGCUGUCCUCGCCGUCACCGGGCCAGCAGGUGCAGACCCCGCAGUCGAUGCCCCCACCCCCCCAGCCGUCCCCGCAGCCCGGCCAGCCCAGCUCACAGCCCAACUCCAACGUCAGGUAGGCCUGGCCUGGGGUGCCCCUCCCCACCUGGCCCUUGAGGCUGGCCCUGCCUGGACCCCAGCUCACACGUUUCUCUCACUUGGCUGCAGCUCUGGCCCUGCCCCGUCCCCCAGUAGCUUCCUGCCUAGCCCCUCACCGCAGCCCUCCCAGAGCCCAGUGACGGCGCGGACCCCACAGAACUUCAGUGUCCCCUCACCUGGACCUUUAAACACACCUGGUAAGUUGGGCCUGGGGUCCACGGCCCCGUCGUGUGACCUGUACUCGGCCUGGUGGGUUGAGGUGCUGAGGUCACCCCUCACCUUUAUGAGGCCUCAGCUUAUACUGGGUGUGUGAGCUCUGGGGCCCUCAGAGCUCAAGUUCCCCACCUGAGGGUCGAGGGCUGUGGCCUCACCCGCCUGUGUCCUGCAGUGAACCCCAGCUCUGUCAUGAGCCCAGCUGGCUCCAGCCAGGCUGAGGAACAGCAGUACCUGGACAAGCUGAAGCAACUGUCCAAGUACAUCGAGCCCCUACGCCGCAUGAUCAACAAGAUCGACAAGAACGAAGGUAGGCUGCAGCCAGGGCACGAGCCUGCACCCUGGGGACACCGCCGGGCUUGUGUCUUAGUGUACCCUCUUCUGUCCCAGACAGAAAAAAGGACCUGAGUAAGAUGAAGAGCCUUCUGGACAUUCUGACAGACCCCUCGAAGCGGUGAGCUUUGCCCACAGCCCACGGAGGGUCCACAAGGGCACGGAUAGCCCAGCCAUGGAUAGGCACUUGGUGAUGAUGUGGGUUUAACAAAGGCACCAGGCAGCUCUUUGGGCCCUGGCCAGAGGCCUCCAAGGCUCCACUCUGGUGUGUGCUGGGGCUUCAAGCCCAGGCUUCAUCUUGGCCCGUGCCCAGCCUUUGCCCUACUCCUGGCUGCUGCUGUGGCCCUCAUGCUGGGCCAUCACAGCCAGACCUCAUCCAGCCAGCAGCCAGGGUCCCAGCUUGCAGUGGCCUGAUCAUCAGCUGGCCCUGAUGGGCCUGAGCCUGACCUGGAGUUCUGCCCCUGACUUGCCGGUGACCAUGGGCAGGCGACUGCAUCUCAGUUACCCCAUUUGUAGCCCAUGUGUGUUGUCAUGAAAAUGAAACAAGAUGGCGCUGGUGAGAAGCAGGUGGAAGGCAGGGCCGCUGGCCACAGGCUGCUGUGAGGAUCAGAGCUCGGACAGUACCUCCAAACUGCAUGGGCAUUGGCAUAUACCUCCCUUUCACCUCAACUCAGGCUAUCCCCCAACCCCUGUCUAGAAGGGUCUCUCUGUUCUGCUUGUCUGGAUAGAAUGCCAGUCACUACUGGGUGGUCCUCCGGCCUUCAUGGGUUGAUGCUUUGUUAGGGUUAUAGGGAUGAGCGGGGCAGGGACUGGCCUACAUGAGAAUGAGGCAUUCCCAGCCUGAUCAGGGGCCUGUCCACUGUCCCUUCUCUUGACCCAUCGCCUCACUCUGCCAACCAGGGACAAGCCGCUCCUGGGGUUGAGGGCUGCCUGCCUUCAACUCUGGGUCUGGGAACAGCUGGUCAACUGGUAGGAGCUCCUGCAGAGGUUUCUGAUGGCCGAGGCCCAGUGGCAGUAGUUGGGAUCCUGAGCCUGAGAACUGCCAUGUCUUCCACUCUUUCAGCACAGAGGUCAGCCCAAGUCCUCUCUCUCUGCAGGUGUCCCCUGAAGACCUUGCAAAAGUGUGAGAUCGCCCUGGAGAAACUCAAGAAUGACAUGGCGGUGGUGAGUGGGAUGCCAGACACCCCUAGGGGAACCAGGGCUCCCCUAAGAGCUCCUGGGAGUGCCGCUGAGAGGGGCCUUCAAGGUCAGGGCAUCUGGGCGGGGGCCGGGCCUGACCUUGGACCCUGCCCACGAGGCUUCCAGGCCAGGUCUGCUGUGCUGGGUGGGAACAUGGGAGAAGUCACCCUCUGUUUACGGCCCCCGUGGGUGCCUCCUCCACCCGGUUCAGAGGAGGCAGGGACUGUAGGGAGGAUAGGCUGUGGGGAUGGGGGAUUAUUCCCAGGAUCAGCCAACAUUGUCUGCACAAGGGUGGAGGCUGUGAGAGAGGCCUCGGGAAUCUGACUGUGAGUGACGACGGGCCUGGGGUGUGAAGGCCCCCUAAAUGGGGAACCCUCGGGUCCCGGGCUGCUGACCGUGCCCAUCCUGCCUCCAGCCCACUCCCCCACCGCCCCCGGUGCCACCGACCAAACAGCAGUACCUAUGCCAGCCGCUCCUGGAUGCCGUCCUGGCCAACAUCCGCUCACCUGUCUUCAACCAUUCCCUGUACCGCACAUUCGUUCCAGCCAUGACCGCCAUUCACGGCCCACCCAUCACGUAUGUCCAGCUGGGCUGGGCUUUGCGGAGGGCGGCCAGCCCUGGGCCACAUGUGCCCGGUGUGGUCACCAUGCCGCCUCCCCAGGGCCCCAGUGGUGUGCACCCGGAAGCGCAGGCUUGAGGAUGAUGAGCGGCAGAGCAUCCCCAGUGUGCUCCAGGGCGAGGUGGCCAGGCUGGACCCCAAGUUCCUGGUAAACCUGGACCCUUCUCACUGCAGCAACAAUGGCACUGUCCACCUGAUCUGCAAGCUGGGUGAGUGUCCAGAGGGCCAGGGCUGGCGUGAGAAAGCAGGCCCUGACCGUAGCCCCAGGACUCUGCCGUCCGAGCCAGAGGGCACAGCGCCCAGAACCCACCCUGUGUUCACGCCCCACCAGGCCUCAGAAAGCCUGGCCAUGCCUCAGUCCCCACUGCCAGAGCCCGCACACUCUCACCUCCCCAACACAGAUGUGGCUCUGCUUGCCUGGGCCCUAGGGAGGUGGUAGGCAGGACCUCUGGGCACCCAUCGAUGCAGGGCACUCCAGGCUUCACGUUUGGAAAUCUGAGAGUCAGAGAGACCUCCUCCAGGUUUUGCCACAAGCUUCACCAGAACCUCCCAGGGUGUGAAGAGUCCUGUUCCAGAGCAGGGCUGUGAGGCAGGGAAGGCCGGGGCUUGUCCAGGUCACAGAUAGAGCCUUCUGUGUUGCAGAUGACAAGGACCUCCCGAGUGUGCCACCACUGGAGCUCAGUGUGCCCGCUGACUAUCCUGCCCAAAGCCCACUGUGGAUCGACCGGCAGUGGCAGUACGACGCCAACCCCUUCCUCCAGUCGGUGCACCGCUGCAUGACCUCCAGGCUGCUGCAGCUCCCAGACAAGCACUCGGUCACCGCCUUGCUCAACACUUGGGCCCAGAGCGUCCACCAGGCCUGCCUCUCAGCCGCCUAGCCAAGACUGCAGGGAUGGCCCGCAGCCUCAUCGGGGCCAAGGACACACGCCUCGUGUCAGGCACUUCUAGGUGUUGGCUUCCUUAGAGAGCCUGGGUUUAGGUUAGCUUUCCUGCUUUUAUCUUCUGCCUUGGGGACCUGCCAAACGAAAUCCCACACCUGUACAGAACUGGGAUAGGCGCAGUGGAGCGGGCUGCUUGGGGGGUGUUGGCCGACUUCUUACAGAAGGCCCUCCAUGUGACUUCCUCCAAGGAGCCAGAUGCGAUCCUUGGGCUGCUCUCACUGUGGCCUGUCCACGGUCCAGGUCCAUCUCAGCAGCGUGAGGGUGCACUCAGGGUGUUGUUAGAGCGUCUCGUGUGUGCUAGACACACCCCUACUCGUUCCUAUAGGAGAACACAGAGGACAUAGGAAACCCUUAAAACACACAUGGGAUUCUCUGGUCACAGUUUUGGGUUCAGGCUACGCUGCUUUGGGCAGGUAGGGCACCCUCUGGGGAAGCCCCCAAGUCCAGGGCACAGGCUGCCUUUUGGAGGGAGGGCU